GGGUUGUGAGGUUAAGCGACUAAGCGUACACGGUGGAUGCCCUGGCAGUCAGAGGCGAUGAAGGACGUGCUAAUCUGCGAAAAGCGUCGGUAAGGUGAUAUGAACCGUUAUAACCGGCGAUGUCCGAAUGGGGAAACCCAGUGCAAUUCGUUGCACUAUCGUUAACUGAAUACAUAGGUUAACGAGGCGAACCGGGGGAACUGAAACAUCUAAGUACCCCGAGGAAAAGAAAUCAACCGAGAUUCCCCAGUAGCGGCGAGCGAACGGGAGCAGCCCAGAGUCUGAAUCAGCUUGUGUGUUAGUGGAACGGUCUGGAAAGUCCGACGGUACAGGGUGAUAGUCCCGUACACCAAAAUGCACAGGUUGUGAACUCGAAGAGUAGGGCGGGACACGUGGUAUCCUGUCUGAAUAUGGGGGGACCAUCCUCCAAGGCUAAAUACUCCUGACUGACCGAUAGUGAACCAGUACCGUGAGGGAAAGGCGAAAAGAACCCCGGCGAGGGGAGUGAAAAAGAACCUGAAACCGUGUACGUACAAGCAGUGGGAGCACCUUCGGGUGUGACUGCGUACCUUUUGUAUAAUGGGUCAGCGACUUAUAUUCUGUAGCAAGGUUAACCGUAUAGGGGAGCCGCAGGGAAACCGAGUCUUAACUGGGCGUUAAGUUGCAGGGUAUAGACCCGAAACCCGGUGAUCUAGCCAUGGGCAGGUUGAAGGUUGGGUAACACUAACUGGAGGACCGAACCGACUAAUGUUGAAAAAUUAGCGGAUGACUUGUGGCUGGGGGUGAAAGGCCAAUCAAACCGGGAGAUAGCUGGUUCUCCCCGAAGCUAUUUAGGUAGCGCCUCGUGAACUCAUCUUCGGGGGUAGAGCACUGUUUCGGCUAGGGGGUCAUCCCGACUUACCAACCCGAUGCAAACUACGAAUACCGAAGAAUGUUAUCACGGGAGACACACGGCGGGUGCUAACGUCCGUCGUGAAGAGGGAAACAACCCAGACCGCCAGCUAAGGUCCCAAAGUCAUGGUUAAGUGGGAAACGAUGUGGGAAGGCACAGACAGCCAGGAUGUUGGCUUAGAAGCAGCCAUCAUUUAAAGAAAGCGUAAUAGCUCACUGGUCGAGUCGGCCUGCGCGGAAGAUGUAACGGGGCUAAACCAUGCACCGAAGCUGCGGCAGCGACACUAUGUGUUGUUGGGUAGGGGAGCGUUCUGUAAGCCUGCGAAGGUGACCUGUGAGGGUUGCUGGAGGUAUCAGAAGUGCGAAUGCUGACAUAAGUAACGAUAAAGCGGGUGAAAAGCCCGCUCGCCGGAAGACCAAGGGUUCCUGUCCAACGUUAAUCGGGGCAGGGUGAGUCGACCCCUAAGGCGAGGCCGAAAGGCGUAGUCGAUGGGAAACAGGUUAAUAUUCCUGUACUUGGUGUUACUGCGAAGGGGGGACGGAGAAGGCUAUGUUAGCCGGGCGACGGUUGUCCCGGUUUAAGCAUGUAGGCUGAUUGUCCAGGCAAAUCCGGUAACUUUCAAGGCUGAGGUGUGAUGACGAGGCACUACGGUGCUGAAGUAACAAAUGCCCUGCUUCGGGAAAAGCCUCUAAGCAUCAGGUAACAUCAAAUCGUACCCCAAACCGACACAGGUGGUCAGGUAGAGAAUACCAAGGCGCUUGAGAGAACUCGGGUGAAGGAACUAGGCAAAAUGGUGCCGUAACUUCGGGAGAAGGCACGCUGGUGUGUAGGUGAAGCCCCUGCGGGUGGAGCUGAGACCAGUCGAAGAUACCAGCUGGCUGCAACUGUUUAUUAAAAACACAGCACUGUGCAAACACGAAAGUGGACGUAUACGGUGUGACGCCUGCCCGGUGCCGGAAGGUUAAUUGAUGGGGUUAUCCGUAAGGAGAAGCUCUUGAUCGAAGCCCCGGUAAACGGCGGCCGUAACUAUAACGGUCCUAAGGUAGCGAAAUUCCUUGUCGGGUAAGUUCCGACCUGCACGAAUGGCGUAAUGAUGGCGGGCUGUCUCCACCCGAGACUCAGUGAAAUUGAACUCGCUGUGAAGAUGCAGUGUACCCGCGGCAAGACGGAAAGACCCCGUGAACCUUUACUAUAGCUUGACACUGAACAUUGAGCCUUGAUGUGUAGGAUAGGUGGGAGGCUUUGAAGCGUGGACGCCAGUCUGCGUGGAGCCAACCUUGAAAUACCACCCUUUAAUGUUUGAUGUUCUAACGUUGGCCCCUGACCGGGGUUGCGGACAGUGUCUGGUGGGUAGUUUGACUGGGGCGGUCUCCUCCCAAAGCGUAACGGAGGAGCACGAAGGUUAGCUAAUCCUGGUCGGACAUCAGGAGGUUAGUGCAAUGGCAUAAGCUAGCUUGACUGCGAGCGUGACGGCGCGAGCAGGUGCGAAAGCAGGUCAUAGUGAUCCGGUGGUUCUGAAUGGAAGGGCCAUCGCUCAACGGAUAAAAGGUACUCCGGGGAUAACAGGCUGAUACCGCCCAAGAGUUCAUAUCGACGGCGGUGUUUGGCACCUCGAUGUCGGCUCAUCACAUCCGGGGCUGAAGUAGGUCCCAAGGGUAUGGCUGUUCGCCAUUUAAAGUGGUACGCGAGCUGGGUUUAGAACGUCGUGAGACAGUUCGGUCCCUAUCUGCCGUGGGCGCUGGAGAAUUGAGGGGGGCUGCUCCUAGUACGAGAGGACCGGAGUGGACGCAUCACUGGUGUUCGGGUUGUCAUGCCAAUGGCACUGCCCGGUAGCUAAAUGCGGAAGAGAUAAGUGCUGAAAGCAUCUAAGCACGAAACUUGCCCCGAGAUGAGUUCUCCUGAGACUUUAAGUCUCCUGAAGGAACGUUGAAGACGACGACGUUGAUAGGCCGGGUGUGUAAGCGCAGCGAUGCGUUGAGCUAACCGGUACUAAUGAACCGUGAGGCUUAACCUUACAACGCCGAAG
rnacentral:rRNA from 1 species